CUAAGAUGAAACAGUUCUAUUGCUGUUGUUGGGAAUUUGGUACUCGCCCCGGUACCGGAUCUCGUGAAUCCGCAACCCGCUCCGAUACCGACUGCUGUGGAUCCAGUAUUGAUUGUUGGAAUUCCGCAACGGAAACGUCAAAUCGGAUUUUUAUCAUAAAUCCGUCUUCUCAGUAAAAACUGAUACAAUCAUAAAAGAGAAAAAUAUGCAGGUAAAAUAAGAUUCAUUAAAUAAGAGAAGAUUACACCUGACUCCUCUUCUACACAGAGUAGCUACAAUUCGAGCCCUCUUUCUUGAAUCUCUUCUACCCUUCUCUCGUCUUCUAUAAACCCACAAAGAAGACAUCUCCGCGUGCACCCGUGCACAAGGUGCACUAAAAUAACUCUCUCACUCUCUCGUUUUCUUUCUCUAGUACGACACCCCAAUGGUUCCAGCCUUACUACACCCAAAAAAGAGAGCCACAAUGCCUAUUUAUAGUGCUCAACUUAAAACGUACCCCAAUCCUAAUAUAUUUAGGAUUCAUGCUUUAAUUAAUAUCUAAAUCUAUCUUAAUCAAUCUCUAAUAGAUUUAAAUAUUAAUCCUAAUCUAGUUAUGUUUAUCCUCUAAUUAAUAUUUAAAUCUUAAUUUAUUUCAAACAGAUUUAAAUAUUAAUUCUUAUCCAAAUAGGAUUUAACUACAAAUCUAACCAAAUCCUAACAUUCUCCACCUUGGUUUGAUUUGUAAUUUUCAACCGCUACGUCGAGCUCACCAUGCAAGCUCCACCUUGAGCAUGUCUCCUCCGCUCGAUGUCGCCGCAUCUGUUGCUCCGUCUUGAGCAACUGCACAUCCGCGAACUUUUGGAACCCAAACCGUCUUCGCUCCCGUUCUGGCUGUGCUCCCAUUCAGAACGUAUAAGUUCCCACGCUUGUUCGCCUCGAAUACUACCCGAUCUCGUUUUCGGACCCUCAUAGCUUUACCUGAAGCUGAAAUAUCGCAACCAUUCGAGUCCAAUGCGCCUAACGAGAUCAAAUUCCGUUUCAAUCCAGGAACGUGCCGCACACCUGUCAGCGUCCUCACUACCCCAUCGUGUAUUCGGAUUUUCACCAUGCAGACUCCCAAUACUUUGCACGCUGUCCCGUUCCCUAUCAGCGCCUUUCCACCUUUGGUCGCCUUAUAAGUGGCAAAAGACUUCUUCUCCGGGCAUACAUGAAAAGAACACGCCGAAUCGAGCACCCACACAUCGUCCGAAAUUUUCGCACCUCCGGUCGCCGCAUACAAUACAUCAGAAUCGAUCAUCUCCGACUCUGCUGUCUGCGCCGUCGCUGAAACCGUCUCAUCCUGGUUCAUGACAGUUUGCUCCUUCUGUCGCUUUAACUCCUUCAGAUCAUUCUGAAGUUUUCGACAAUUGCGCUUGAGAUGCCCCUUCCUGUGACAGUAAAAGUAUUCUACCUCAGAUAUCGGUUUCUUCUGUCGAUAUCCGGUCGCCGAUAUUCUCGCCUCCUUCUUCGCGGUCACCACCAGUCCAACAUCCUGACUUUGCGUGCCGGACUCCUGAGUCAUCUUCCGCAUCUCGUUCGAGAGAAGCGCCGCCGUGACCGCCUCCACGCUUAUGGACUCCUUGCCAGUCACCAGAUGCUCAUAUGUCGUCGGUAGCGAAGAUAGUAGGAUCAACGCCUCGUCUUCGUCAUCCAGAUUGACUCCGAUGCUGGUCAACUGGGCCACCACCUUGUUGAACUCAUUUAGAUGAUCAUGUAGGCUCGCCGCUUCUUGCAUCCGCAACGUAAACAGUCGCUGCUUCAGAUACAAUCUGUUCGUUAGGGAUUUGGUCAUGUACAGAUCUUCCAAUUUCUUCCACAAUUUCGCCGGUGUCGUCUUGCCGGCUACAUUGUAAAGAACCUCAUCUGCUAAUGAUAGAUGAAGCGUACUCAGCGCCUUCCGCUCCAUCUUCGUCCAUGCCGCAUCCGUGACGUCCGCCGGCUUUGCCUCCUUCCCGUUCAACGUCUCGUCUAACUCUUGCUGUACGAGGAUUGCUCGUGCUUUAAUUUGCCAUAAUCCGAAAUUGUUCUUGUCGUCGAACUUCUCGAUUUCGAAUUUCGUGGCCAUCUCCGUCGAUCUCUCCCGCAGAUCGGUAACCUUCGGCUCUGAUACCACUUGUUGGGAAUCCGGUACUCGCCCCGGUACCGGAUCUCGUGAAUCCGCAACCCGCUCCGAUACCGACUGCUGUGGAUUCAGUAUCGAUUGUUGGGAUUCCGCAACAGAAACUUCAAAUCUGGUUUUUAUCAUAAAUCCGUCUCCUCAGCAAAAACUGAUACAAUCAUAAAAGAGAAAAAUAUGCAGGUAAAAUAAGAUUCAUUAAAUAAGAGAAGAUUACACCUGACUCCUCUUCUACACAGAGUAGCUACAAUCCGAGCCCUCUUUCUUGAAUCUCUUCUAUCCUCAUCUCGUCUUCUAUAAACCCACAAAAAAGACCUCUCCGCGUGCACCCGUGCACAAGGUGCACUAAAAUAACUCUCUCUCUCUUUUUCUCUCUCUGGUACGACACCGCAAUGGUUCCAGCCGUACUACACCCAAAAAAGAUAGCCACAAUGCCUAUUUAUAAUGCUCAACUUAAAACGUACCCCAAUUCUAAUAUAUUUAGGAUUCAUGCUUUAAUUAAUAUCUAAAUCUAUCUUAAUCAAUCUCUAAUAGAUUUAAAUAUUAAUUAUAAUCUAGUUAGGUUUAUCCUCUAAUUAAUAUUUAAAUCUUAAUUUAUUUCAAACAGAUUUAAAUAUUAAUUCUUAUCUAAAUAGGAUUUAACUAUAAAUCUAACCAAAUCUAACAGCUGUAUC
rnacentral:lncRNA from 1 species